rnacentral:rRNA from 1 species
GUUGGGAAUCUUGGACAAUGGGGGAAACCCUGAUCCAGCCAUGCCGCGUGAGUGAUGAAGGCCUUCGGGUUGUAAAACUCUUUCGACGGGGACGAUAAUGACGGUACCCGUAGAAGAAGCUCCGGCUAACUUCGUGCCAGCAGCCGCGGUAAUACGAAGGGGGCUAGCGUGUUCGGAAUUACUGGGCGUAAAGCGCGCGCAGGCGGCUAUCCAAGUCAGUGGUGAAAGCCCGGAGCUCAACUCCGGAACUGCCAUUGAAACUGUUUAGCUUGAGGACGAGAGAGGUAAGUGGAAUUCCCCGUGUAGAGGUGAAAUUCGUAGAUAUUGGGAAGAACACCGGUGGCGAAGGCGGCUCACUGGCUCGUAUCUGACGCUCAGGCGCGAUAGCGUGGGGAUCAAACAGGAUUAGAUACCCGUGUAGUCC